GUUCCCAUACCGAACACGGAAGUUAAGCUCUUCAGCGCCGAUGGUAGUCGGGGGUUUCCCCCAGUGAGAGUAGGACGCCGCCAAGC
rnacentral:rRNA from 1 species